ensembl:lncRNA
AUUACCCAUUCAGGGGCAGAAUAGGACCAGUCUUCACAGAAUUAAAGACAACUCGGAAAAUACGGGACAAAUCCCGUCCCGUAUUGAUUAAAAACGGGACGGACUAUUUUAUUCUCAAAUACGGGGCCGUUACGUAUUUUACGUUACGUAGGGACGGGUGGCAACCCUAAUAGCAGCUAGCUUAACAUAGCAGUGCUUUAAAAUUUGCUACUCACCCUUCUGUUUGACAUAUGGAGUAAUUCGUCUGCACAGUUCUCAGCUGUAUCUCGCACCACUGUUUGUUUUACUUCCAAUGCAAAAAGCUCUCCAUCUUGAUGUAACUGACUGCAGCUAGCGGCCCUUACCUCCGGGACCGGAAGUUAACCGGAAUCCAACUCCACUUGGCCGAUCCGCGCAAUUUGACCAUUUAUUGAAAGUCAAGUCCUUUGACGCCAUUUCAAGGCACAAAAAGACAAAAGAGGAAGUGAAACGGCGCAGGGCAGUAGCUCAUUGCAAAAAUAGUGGAUUUAAUCAUUUCCAUGAAAACCAACAAAGGUUCCAGGUUCCAGUUUACUGUGGCAGAUCUAACCAGGGAUGAACCUUGGCGCUCCAGUUAUUGGAAGCAGCUCUACUGCUCACUGAAUCAGAGCAAAGAUUCUGCUUGGAGGUCAGUCUGUAACGCACGCUUACCAGCAGUGCCAAGAGGUCUUUGUGCAGGAUCAAGCCAUUUUGCCAGGUCCCGCUGGGUCAGCUCAAAAAGAAGACCAAGACCCGGUAAUCCCAGAGAAGUCCCAAAAGCAUCCUUGUCAACAAUCACAACACUCUGGGAUUAUCUCGCUGCCCGAGUGAAUGACAAAGAUUGGGUUUGGUACAGUGACUGAUGUCUCAGGAAGCUCAACCGCUCUUGAAUGCCUUUCUCAUUUGAAAUACAAUUUAAAAAAAGAAAACAAAAAAAAAAAAAGAUCAACUACCAAGUGAAAUGUCAAACAUGUCCAUUACCUGCCCUCCUGUGCAUGUGAUCAUUGUCUGCUGCAGAGUCAUACUUUCUGUUGGGAUUUAGAUAUCUGUGCUGAGGGAGAGAUAGGGAACACAACUGCCUUUCACAGAUUCCCCACUGCCAUCCCAUCUAGGCAAAUGAGGGCAAUUUCUCCAGCCUUGAUGAAUACAAUGGAGAGAUGUAUAGGAUGCAGGAAAGCCAAAAAACAUUCUCCUCACCAUGUCCUUGGCCCAUGGUUUUCACAGAUUACAUUAAUUUGCUCAGUACCAGCUGGAACCGGAGACCUACAAUGUCCACUAGAGAUGAGUGAGCAUCUCCAACAAACAAAUGACUGCAGCAUGAAACGGGAGGCCUUGAUCAAAAUAAAUAAAUAAAAGACGCGCUCAUAAAUACUUUAUCAAAUGUGGAAUGAUUUUCUUUUCUUGUCGGUGAGCAAGAGCAACACUGAAGCUUCUAAGCUCUUCAAAGACAGGUGCGCAGGGCUCUCGAAGCCUCUCUGGCAGGAGAGAGGAUCCAUGGAAAUAUGCUUACAAAGAUUAUAUUUACAAUACACGGUGGAUUGGCAACUGUCAACCUGGAGAUAAUUAUAUAUGGAUAUCUAAUGCCUAACCCAUCUGUCAUGCAGGUGUGUUUAGGAAUAAUUGCAGGUGUUGGAUCUCAUCCAGCAUUCC